ACUAUUUUGACAGAAAAGUGUGGUAGAUUUAGAAUCUAUUUAUGUAGUGUAAAACUAUAAGUAGUA
rnacentral:tRNA from 1 species